AGUGGGGAAUAUUGGACAAUGGGCGAAAGCCUGAUCCAGCCAUGCCGCGUGUGUGAAGAAGGCCUUUUGGUUGUAAAGCACUUUAAGCGAGGAGGAGGCUACUUGGAUUAAUACUCUAGGAUAGUGGACGUUACUCGCAGAAUAAGCACCGGCUAACUCUGUGCCAGCAGCCGCGGUAAUACGGAGGGUGCGAGCGUUAAUCGGAUUUACUGGGCGUAAAGCGUGCGUAGGCGGCUUUUUAAGUCGGAUGUGAAAUCCCUGAGCUUAACUUAGGAAUUGCAUUCGAUACUGGGAAGCUAGAGUAUGGGAGAGGAUGGUAGAAUUCCAGGUGUAGCGGUGAAAUGCGUAGAGAUCUGGAGGAAUACCGAUGGCGAAGGCAGCCAUCUGGCCUAAUACUGACGCUGAGGUACGAAAGCAUGGGGAGCAAACAGGAUUAGAUACCCUGGUAGUCCAUGC
rnacentral:rRNA from 1 species